rnacentral:rRNA from 1 species
UACGUAGGGUGCGAGCGUUGUCCGGAAUUACUGGGCGUAAAGAGCUCGUAGGUGGUUUGUCGCGUUGUCCGUGAAAACUCACAACUCAAUUGUGGGCGUGCGGGCGAUACGGGCAGACUGGAGUACUGCAGGGGAGACUGGAAUUCCUGGUGUAGCGGUGGAAUGCGCAGAUAUCAGGAGGAACACCGGUGGCGAAAGCAGGUACCUGGACCAUUACUGACGCUCAGCUGCGAAAGCUAGGGGAGCAAACAGG